rnacentral:snRNA from 1 species
UUUUCUUGACCUUGUAAGAC